rnacentral:rRNA from 1 species
GGGGGCGAGGGGCUGCUUACACUGCAAGUCGAGGGGUAUUGGUUUUCGGACGAAGAGACCGGCGCACGGGUGCGUAACGCGUAUGCAAUCUACCUUUUACAGGGGAAUAGCCCAGAGAAAUUUGGAUUAAUGCCCCAUAGUAUAUAUUAAUUGCAUGAUUGAUAUAUUAAAGUUCCAACGGUAAAAGAUGAGCAUGCGUCCCAUUAGUUAGUUGGUAAGGUAACGGCUUACCAAGACGAUGAUGGGUAGGGGUCCUGAGAGGGAGAUCCCCCACACUGGUACUGAGACACGGACCAGACUCCUACGGGAGGCAGCAGUGAGGAAUAUUGGACAAUGGGCGCAAGCCUGAUCCAGCCAUGCCGCGUGCAGGAAGACGGUCCUAUGGAUUGUAAACUGCUUUUGUACGGGAAGAAACACUCCUACGUGUAGGAGCUUGACGGUACCGUAAGAAUAAGGAUCGGCUAACUCCGUGCCAGCAGCCGCGGUAAUACGGAGGAUCCAAGCGUUAUCCGGAAUCAUUGGGUUUAAAGGGUCCGUAGGCGGUUUAGUAAGUCAGUGGUGAAAGCCCAUCGCUCAACGAUGGAACGGCCAUUGAUACUGCUAGACUUGAAUUAUAAGGAAGUAACUAGAAUAUGUAGUGUAGCGGUGAAAUGCUUAGAUAUUACAUGGAAUACCAAUUGCGAAGGCAGGUUACUACUUAUGGAUUGACGCUGAUGGACGAAAGCGUGGGGAGCGAACAGGAUUAGAUACCCUGGUAGUCCACGCCGUAAACGAUGGAUACUAGCUGUUGGGCGCAAGUUCAGUGGUUAAGCGAAAGUGAUAAGUAUCCCACCUGGGGAGUACGUUCGCAAGAAUGAAACUCAAGGAAUUGACGGGGGCCCGCACAAGCGGUGGAGCAUGUGGUUUAAUUCGAUGAUACGCGAGGAACCUUACCAAGGCUUAAAUGUAGAUUGACCGAUUUGGGAAACAGAUCUUUCGCAAGACAAUUUACAAGGUGGCUGCAUGGUUGUCGUCAGCUCGUGCCGUGAGGGUGUCAAGGUUAAGUCCUAUAACGGAGCGCAACCCCUGGUUGGU